GACGAACGCUGGCGGCGUGCUUAACACAUGCAAGUCGAACGGAAAGGCCUGCUUUCCCUUGUGGAUUGCGGGUACUCGAGUGGCGAACGGGUGAGUAACACGUGAGUUAUCUGCCCCCAACUUGGGUAUAAGCCUGGGAAACUGGGUCUAAUUCCCGAUAGGACUGCAGGGUGGUGCCUGUGGUGGAAAACGAUUUUCUAGUGGUUGGGGAUGAGCUCGCGGCCUAUCAGCUUGUUGGUGGGGUAAUGGCCUACCAAGGCGGCGACGGGUAGCCGGCCUGAGAGGGUGGACGGCCACAUUGGGACUGAGAUACGGCCCAGACUCCUACGGGAGGCAGCAGUGGGGAAUAUUACACAAUGGGCGGAAGCCUGAUGCAGCGACGCCGCGUGGGGGAUGACGGCCUUCGGGUUGUAAACUCCUUUCGACCGCGAGGAAGCCACCUGGUUGGAAGGGUGGUGACGGUAGUGGUAGAAGAAGCACCGGCUAACUACGUG
rnacentral:rRNA from 1 species